CUUUCCUGUGCGGGCGAAGGCCUCGGCCACCUUGCGGUUCCGCCCUCCGUAGCAGGUAGUGAUGAGAUCAGCAACACCACAGCUCUCCAAGAAGGUGGCAGAGGACACAGGGCCACUGCAGAAGAGCUUGGUGAAGGCGAUCAUCUCCAUGAGCCCCAGUCGGAUCACGGCCGCCUUGGUGUUGUCGCCAAAGCCCAGCCCAUCACAGAAGCCAGCCCCCAUGGCCACUAUAUUCUUUGAAGAGUGAAGUCAUGGGUGAGAAAGGAUCCCCUCCCGCAGGCCCCACUUGGGGCCCUCAGCACCUGCCUCAUGCUCCUUCCAUCAGCCAUGACCCGCCCACUGAAUAAGUGAAGGAAGGUCUGUCCAGGAUCCAGUUCUGGCCAUCAAUCUGUCUGGGUGUCCUGGACAUCUUAUCUCCCAUUAGCCUGAGUGCUCCCCCAGGGCAUCUCCUCUUCCCCCUGGACCAACCUUUGGAGCCAGGGACAGGGAUGUCCCACAAGGGGCUAUAGGGGAAAGGAAGAAGGAAGCCCAAUGUCUGAUGGUCCUCCCCUAUUCCAAUGCAGCCAAAGCUUGCUGUGAGGAGAGCAGAUAACAUGUGAAAACGAAUCCAUCUGAAAACUCUCCUUCCACAACCUACUUCUC